CAAUAGCGUAUAUUUAAGUUGUUGCAGUUAAAAAGCUCGUAGUCGGAUUUUGGCUGAGAACGAACGGUCCGCCGUUAGGUGUGCACUGUUUGGUCUCAGCUUCCUGGUGAGGAGGUGUGCUUCACGGCCACUUAGUCACCGUGGUUACUUUGAAAAAAUUAGAGUGUUCAAAGCGGGCUUACGCUUGAAUAUAUUAGCAUGGAAUAACACCAUAGGACUCCUGUCCUAUUUCGUUGGUCUCGGGACGGGAGUAAUGAUUAAGAGGAACAGUUGGGGGCAUUCGUAUUUCAUUGUCAGAGGUGAAAUUCUUGGAUUUAUGAAAGACGAACUUCUGCGAAAGCGUUUGCCAAGGAUGUUUUCAUUG
rnacentral:rRNA from 1 species